CCUAUCACGUUAAAACACCGGUUCUCGUAUGAUCACAGAAGUUAAGCAAGGUCGAGCCUGGUCAGUUCUGAGAUGGGUGAACACUCGGGAAUGUCG